CGUCCUACGGGGCGCAGCAGUGGGGAAUUUUGCGCAAUGGGGGAAACCCUGACGCAGCAACGCCGCAUGCGGGACGAAGGCCCUCGGGUCGUAAACCGCUUUAAGCAGGGAAGACCUUACGACGGUACCUGCAGAAGAAGCUCCGGCUAACUACGUGCCAGCAGCCGCGGUAAUACGUAGGGGGCGAGCGUUAUCCGGAUUCAUUGGGCGUAAAGCGCGCGUAGGCGACCGCCUAAGCGGAACCUCUACCCCCGGGGCUCAACCUCGGGCCGGGUUCCGGACUGGGCGGCUCGAGUGCGGUAGAG
rnacentral:rRNA from 1 species